ensembl:snoRNA SNORA75 Small nucleolar RNA SNORA75
GGCUUCUCGUUGAUCUCCCUUCUGUCUAUUGGUGGCAUUUGAUGGAUUUACAUGAGAAGAUGAGAGAAUUCACAGAACUAGCAUUAUUUUACCUUAUGUCUUUACAGAGGUAUAUUUGACUGUUUUGUGAGACAUUC